UCAGCCUCAUCUUCCCGCAGGCGGUCUUGUGAAAGGAGACGAGGUCAUGGCAAUCAAUGGCAAAAUCGUGACGGACUACACCCUGGCUGAGGCUGAGGCUGCCCUGCAGAAGGCCUGGAAUCAGGGGGACUGGAUCGACCUUGUUGUUGCUGUCUGUCCCCCGAAGGAGUAUGAUGACGAGCUGACCUUCUUCUGAAGUCCGGAAGGAGAAACCAAAUUCACCCCUCGAAGCCAGUUAGCUCUGGACCCACCCUUCUGAACACAAAGCCGGGAACCAGCCUUGAGAGACGCCAGCCUGCAGGCACCCUAGAAACCCACAGUCAGCACCCAGCGGCUUCAGACACCCAUUGGCCCUGUAGAAGAGCUGCAUAGGAGCACCUCCGGCCAUUGCUCUGAAGGCCAGUAUAGAGGGAGAGCAGCCAAUCGUUCUGGAAGGGCCCCUGGAAACCGGACUCGCAUGUCUUCUCUCUGGCCCUGUGAAUUUGGUCUCUCCCCGCCCUGGGAGACUUCUCCCUUGAAAUCCAAUAGGACCUGACUCUUCGGUCCCACUCUCUACACCCUUCUCCCCUUGGUCCUGCUGUCAUUGCUGCUAAGAUUGCUGCCACAAACCUUACUCUGAACUCAUCAAUAAAAUAAACAGAUUUCUUUUCCAGCUUA